rnacentral:misc_RNA from 1 species
AAAAAAGCAAUGGCAACCAACGGAGAAAAUGGAAGACAUCAAGAAGUUGGACACAAGAGUCUAUUGCAAAGUGAUGCCCUUUAUCAGUAUAUUCUUGAAACAAGUGUGUACCCAAGAGAGCCUGAAGCCAUGAAAGAGCUAAGAGAGAUUACUGCAAAACACCCUUGGAACCUUAUGACCACUUCUGCUGACGAAGGGCAGUUCUUGAAUAUGCUUCUCAAACUCAUCAAUGCCAAAAACACAAUGGAAAUUGGGGUUUUUACUGGUUACUCUCUGCUUGCUACUGCCAUGGCUCUUCCUGAUGAUGGCAAGAUUCUAGCCAUGGAUAUCAACCGCGAUAACUAUGAGAUUGGACUUCCAGUAAUUGAAAAGGCUGGUCUAGCGCACAAAAUUGAAUUCAGAGAAGGCCCUGCACUACCUGUUCUUGACCAAAUGAUUGAAGACGGCCAAUACCAUGGAUCAUAUGAUUUCAUAUUUGUGGAUGCUGACAAGGACAAUUACUUGAACUAUCACAAGAGAUUAAUCGACUUGGUCAAGAUUGGUGGAUUAAUUGGCUAUGACAACACCCUAUGGAAUGGAUCAGUAGUUGCACCACCUGAUGCACCCCUCAGG